CGGGUGAGUAACACGUGGAUAACCUACCUAUAAGACUUGGAUAACUUCGGGAAACCGGAGCUAAUACCGUAUAAUAUUUUGAACCGCAUGGUUCAAAAGUGAAAGACGGUCUUGCUGUCACUUAUAGAUGGAUCCGCGCUGCAUUAGCUAGUUGGUAAGGUAACGGCUUACCAAGGCAACGAUGCAUAGCCGACCUGAGAGGGUGAUCGGCCACACUGGAACUGAGACACGGUCCAG
rnacentral:rRNA from 1 species